ACCUGUUUCCUGACCCAACCCAACCCAACCCACACCAACAGAUGGCGUUGUUCCUCUCAGUGAGAUAGGAAAGUUGUUUAUUUCAUUAAUGUUUUAUACGUUUUUUUUCUUAGAGUUAAACAAUUAGGAAAUUAUGAUCAUCUUGUGCAAGACAAGGUUUUACAUGGAGCCGUCGCAUUUAGAUUUUUAUAUUGCGACGAAAUCAUAAUUAUAUACUCGAAUUUGUGUUUUCGUGUUUUUCUAAACUGCCGUUAGAUGGUUCUGACGCAUUGCUAUAAGGCCGUGCUAUAUAAACACAGCCUAUUAUCUAGUCAACUCGGUCUACUGUUUUCCAUUUGCAGUCUUCAUUCGAAAGUGAAGUAAUGGUAUUCUCUUCCACAUCAACCAGCGGCCAUCAAUGGCUCAGAAUAAAAUUACAGGAAUGACCAACAACAGUGAAGAACAACAGACCUCAUCUUCCACCAAGGAGACCAUCAUAGAGGUGAUAAUUCAGCCACCAACUACAGAGGCCAAGGUUGAAUCUGAUGCUCCCCCCGCUGUGAUCACCACUCAGCCAGCACAGCCAAUGCCUGAACACGAUGACAGCAUUGCUGUGGUCAUGUGGGAAGCCACCGUUACUGGUCGACGCCUCAUCGACGAGAUGGUCAACCUGGGAUCAUUCCACGUGGCACAGGAAGAGAAAGCAGAAGGGCACGAUUUCAACGAGUACGUCAUGCCAUAUGGCAAGCUACCGCUGAAUGUAAUUCGCAACUACAAUCUUCGCAUCGUUGACACGGGUCGUUACCGCAUGCUCAAGGAGAUCCGCAACAAAAGAAUGCUCAAGUCCAAGAGCGAGGUGGCCGCCUGCAACGAUUUCGCCUCGUGGCUCAUCAAGCUCCAAAAAUAUAAUUUCACCGACAAGAAAAUUGUCUUAUUCUUCUUUGAACCACGCCACUCCCAAGAUCCUUCAGCUCUUCCAGCUUUGGAACGUUACCGUCUUCUAGAUGAUGUCAACAAGAUUUUGCUUGGAUGUGUUAAUGGCUGGGAUCUGCUCCGUCAACAAGUGCAUGAUUUGAAGGAUGAAAAUCGCAUGGUCCUUAAAGCUUUGGCUGAUCAUCACCUUGGAGUCGACACACCUUUGGAGAGCGCUGUUCAACGUGCUCAAUCAAGCACUUCACAAGAUCCUUCGCAAGGUGCAUGGCGGCCGCAUCAACACUGGGGUACUUAAGGAGAACCUCAUCAGUUGCGAUCAUUUGCUCGAACAAGUCAAGAAGAUCAAAGAAGAAUUGACUAAGGAGGCUCAAUGGAGACCUGUAUUCGCUGACAUGUUUCGUCAAGGUAUCAAGCCUCGCCGGCGAGCUGGAUUCCUCCGCCAUAUGCUCGUCGAGUCGGGCAUCACCUAUGCAGGCCUUACGGAAACAUUCAAGGACAAGAAAGAUGACGGUGUGGUCGAGGUCAUCAAAGAGAACAUCAAAGAGAACAUCAAAGAGAACAUCAACGGCAAGAAUGAAGCCGACGUGGAGGAAGUCAUCAAGCUGCUGAAUCAACACCUUGCGCAGCCAGACAAGCCCGUCCGACGCGGUAGCGGCCGUCGAGCACCCCGCACUCGUUCCCUUUGCACCGCCAUGGACUUGGAGAAGCAGCAGCCUGCGUCCAAGAUCGAGCCCGAGGAAAACAACAACGACCCUGUCAAAGUGAUUAUGGAUGUUAUUUCCAGCACUCCUGCGGUCCUGUCCGAAGUUUAAAAAGUCCCUCUCUCCUCGACUCGCCUGAAAUUACUUACUACCUCCCGCCCCACUUCCCUUUUGUUUUUCACUUAACUUGUCUCGUUUUUGAGAAAUUUUGAUCUUUUUUUAAGUUUACAAGUCUUUCACGAAACGAACUUGCUUGUCGCUUUUGGUUAUGCUUUUCUUCUUACUAGAGAUAACACUUGCAAUAUUUAUAAAUAUACCAGGGAGCUUUUUGGUAAUUGUUCUAGUCUUCUACUAAAAUCAAUCCAGAAUGUAUAUGUGCGAUGAAAUGGUCUCUGCAGUGCCUUUGCACUUUUGCAGUGCCUUUCAUACUUGUGAGUUGAUCUCAUGAAAUGGAAUACAAAAUACUCUGAGGAAA